rnacentral:rRNA from 1 species
UACGGAGGGUGCAAGCGUUAUCCGGAUUCACUGGGUUUAAAGGGUGCGUAGGUGGGCAAGUAAGUCAGUGGUGAAAUCUCCGGGCUUAACCCGGAAACUGCCAUUGAUACUAUUUGUCUUGAAUGCCGUGGAGGUAAGCGGAAUAUGUCAUGUAGCGGUGAAAUGCUUAGAUAUGACAUAGAACACCUAUUGCGAAGGCAGCUUACUACACGGAGAUUGACGCUCAUGCACGAAAGCGUGGGGAUCAAACAGG